GAUAUAGCAGUACCCUGAGUAGUGCGGGACACGUGUAAUCCUGUAUGAAUCCACCGGGACCAUCCAGUAAGGCUAAAUACUCCUGAAAGACCGAUAGUGCACCAGUACCGUGAGGGAAAGGUGAAAAGAACCCUAAGUAAGGGAGUGAAACAGAACCUGAAACCGUACGCCUACAAGCGGUCGGAGCACAUUUACUGUGUGACGGCGUGCCUUUUGCAUAAUGAGCCUACGAGUUACUGUUUCUAGCAAGGUUAAACAUUUAAGGUGUGGCGCCGUAGCGAAAGCGAGUCUGAAUAGGGCGUAUAGUUAGUAGUAGUAGACGCGAAACCGAGUGAUCUAUCCAUGG
rnacentral:rRNA from 1 species